rnacentral:rRNA from 1 species
GACGAACGCUGGCGGCGUGGCCUAACACAUGCAAGUCGAACGGAGACUAACGCUGAAUUGAUGGUAGCUUGCUAUUGGAUUUUCUUGUUAGUCUUAGUGGCGGACGGGUGAGUAACACGUGAGCAACCUGCCUUUCAGAGGGGAAUAACAGUUGGAAACAGCUGCUAAUACCGCAUAAUGCAACGGAAUCGCAUGACUCUGUUGCCAAAGAUUUAUCGCUCUGAGAUGGCCUCGCGUCUGAUUAGCUAGUUGGCGGGGUAACGGCCCACCAAGGCGACGAUCAGUAGCCGGACUGAGAGGUUGGCCGGCCACAUUGGGACUGAGACACGGCCCAG